rnacentral:rRNA from 1 species
CAGCAGCAGGGAAUUUUGCACAAUGGGCGCAAGCCUGAUGCAGCGACGCCGCGUGAGCGAUGAAGGCCUUCGGGUCGUAAAGCUCUGUCACGGGGGAUGAACGUCCGGGUGGUUAAGAGCCGCCUGGAGUGACGGUACCCCAGGAGGAAGCCCCGGCUAACUACGUG